CAGGGUAUUUAUCGGGGGAGGAUGCGAACCGAAAAGAGGUUCGACAAAGGCGCGAAGCGACUUUGAACAAUGCGCGGAGCGCAUUGGCCCGGAGGGCGGAAAGCCGGAGGCUUGGAGUAAUCCUCCCCCCUCCACCA
rnacentral:sRNA from 1 species